rnacentral:rRNA from 1 species
GACGAACGCUGGCGGCGUGCUUAACACAUGCAAGUCGAACGGAAAGGCCCUGCUUUUGUGGGGUGCUCGAGUGGCGAACGGGUGAGUAACACGUGAGUAACCUGCCCUUGACUUUGGGAUAACUUCAGGAAACUGGGGCUAAUACCGGAUAGGAGCUCCUGCUGCAUGGUGGGGGUUGGAAAGUUUCGGCGGUUGGGGAUGGACUCGCGGCUUAUCAGCUUGUUGGUGGGGUAGUGGCUUACCAAGGCUUUGACGGGUAGCCGGCCUGAGAGGGUGACCGGCCCACCUGGGGCUGAGGUACGGCCCAGAGUCCUACGGGAGGCAGCAGUGGGGUAUAUUGCACAAUGGGCGGAAGCCUGAUGCAGCAACGACGCGUGCGGUAUGACGGCCUUCGGGUUGUAAAACGCUUUCGCCUGUGACGAAGCGUGAGUGACGGUAAUGGGUAAAGAAGCACCGGCUAACUACGUG